UACAGAGGGUGCAAGCGUUAAUCGGAUUUACUGGGCGUAAAGCGCGCGUAGGUGGUUCAGUAAGUUGGAUGUGAAAUCCCCGGGCGCAACCUGGGAACUGCAUCCAAAACUGCUGAGCUAGAGUACGGUAGAGGGUGGUGGAAUUUCCUGUGUAGCGGUGAAAUGCGUAGAUAUAGGAAGGAACACCAGUGGCGAAGGCGACCACCUGGACUGAUACUGACACUGAGGUGCGAAAGCGUGGGGAGCAAACAGG
rnacentral:rRNA from 1 species